rnacentral:rRNA from 1 species
UGGGGAAUUUUGGACAAUGGGCGAAAGCCUGAUCCAGCAAUGCCGCGUGUGUGAAGAAGGCCUUCGGGUUGUAAAGCACUUUUGUCCGGAAAGAAAUCCUUGGCUCUAAUACAGUCGGGGGAUGACGGUACCGGAAGAAUAAGCACCGGCUAACUACGUGCCAGCAGCCGCGGUAAUACGUAGGGUGCAAGCGUUAAUCGGAAUUACUGGGCGUAAAGCGUGCGCAGGCGGUUUGCUAAGACCGAUGUGAAAUCCCCGGGCUCAACCUGGGAACUGCAUUGGUGACUGGCAGGCUAGAGUAUGGCANGAGGGGGGAUAGAAUUCCACGUGUAGGCAGUGAAAUGCGUAGAGAUGUGGAGGAAUACCGAUGGCGAAGGCAGCCCCCUGGGCCAAUACUGACGCUCAUGCACGAAAGCGUGGGGAGCAAACAGGAUUAGAUACCCUGGUAGUCCACGCCCUAAACGAUGUCAACUAGUUGUUGGGGAUUCAUUUCCUUAGUAACGUAGCUAACGCGUGAAGUUGACCG